rnacentral:rRNA from 1 species
GUCCACGCCGUAAACGAUGUCAACUAGCCGUUGGAUUCCUUGAGGAUUUAGUGGCGCAGCUAACGCAUUAAGUUGACCGCCUGGGGAGUACGGCCGCAAGGUUAAAACUCAAAUGAAAUUGACGGGGGCCCGCACAAGCGGUGGAGCAUGUGGUUUAAUUCGAAGCAACGCGAAGAACCUUACCAGGCCUUGACAUCUACAGAACUUUCCAGAGAUGGAUUGGUGCCUUCGGGAACUGUAAGACAGGUGCUGCAUGGCUGUCGU